GUGAUGGGUUCCUUUCCCCUGUGAUCAUCAAUGGAAGAAGAGAAGAAAUCACCACCUUUGGCAGCAAGCAACAUUUUACAGACCGAAUAAGACAUUGCGUGACUGUGCAAGUACAAGAACUAAGAGAAACUCAUAAGCACUUGGCAGAGAAGGUUCAAAGUGCACUAAAAGUGACAGACACUGGUUCCUGCAAAGAAAGGCCUGUGCUGUGAAAUACCUAACAGCUCAUCCAGAAUAAGAGUCAAAAUAAGGUUACCAUCUUUUGUCUAAUUUUUACCAAGAAUUUUGUGGAUUUAGUAUUCAGAAAAGGCUCUAUUGCACAGUUCUUCUCUGCUCUGCAUGAUCUCAGAUGAGGAAGCUCAACUGGGACUGGAGGAUGUCCUUCCAGGACAAUUUACCCAUGGGGUGAGUUUUCUUAAAAAAAAAAUCUAUUUCGACAGUCAGAGAUGAGCAAUGAAUGACCUUAUUGUACUGUGGCUGUUUGCCACGCUGAGUGGAAAGCUCCAGAGCCGCAAGACUGACAGGGGGUGAAAAUGCAUCUGAGAAGACAGAACCUUUUCCUAUCUUCAUCAUGUAUGUUUACAUAAUAAAAUCAUAUGCAUGAUUAUCAGA